rnacentral:lncRNA from 1 species
AUGGAAAAAGAAAAAGAAGAGAAGGGUGCGAACGCCAGGGAGGAUAAUAAGGAGGAGGAUAAUAAAAAGGAGAAGGAACACAAGGAGAAGGAGGACAAGAAGGAGGAGGAGCAGGAGGUGAAAGUGCCACGGAGGUUAGACUGGUCAGGUGGGAUAUCCAAGAGAGUGAUUUGUUCAGCUGUGGCUGGAGGUAGCUUCAUUUUAGUCUUAGAGAUAGCAGUCAGCCUUAGUAAGCAAGCUGGAAAAAGAACAGAGGAUAUAAUCUUUGAAGGCGACUUCUGCCCAGAUGGCUCAACUGUGCGUCCAAAAGACCGGUUCAAAUGCUACUACCUAUCAGUGGAUAAAAAGUCCUGGAGUGACAGUCAGAAAAUGUGUAGGUCUCUUGGUGUAAAGGUGGCUAUAUUUAGAACCGCGGAGGAAACGAUGUCUCCUGGAAACAGAAGAGGUGGAAGAACAGAGGGAUAGACAUACAAUAUGAGCCUCACAUCUCCUCACUUUUAGUCCCUUCAAGUCCUACUCCCAGGUCACCCCUUCUCCACUAGGGACAUGGACCUCCAAACUUGGAUUCUACAUGUUGGGAUCUUGGCCUUCCUACACUCAGUGACACUGGAGAACAGAGUGAGGCAGACAAUUUUGCGCAGCUCUGACUCAUUUAAAUCCAAUUCAUGGGCAAGUCAAGACAUCACCCUUGUGAUGUCAUUGGUCCUCUUCAGUAAUGUUGGAUGAAAAACAUGUUGGGGAAACAGGACAGUGGCCUGAGGGGAGGGGCCACAGCUGUUAAAGAUACAGUUGCCAGCAAAGGGACAAGAAAGUGAGUCAUUUUGGGGGAAACAGUGAAUAGUCUAAGUUUUGAAGGAGCAGAGGGUACAGUGAGAGAUAAGAGAUGAAAUAUAGAUUUGGGUUAGAUUGUGGAAGACAUUGGAAUGCCAGGCUAAAACAUUUGGACGUUAUUGGUAGGUAAUACAUAGACAUCGAAGGACUCUGAUUAGAGGGAUAACAUGAUCACUGCUAUAAAUUAGAAGUUUAAUUUGACAAUAGGGUAUAUGAUAGGGAGACAGAGGAGAUUAUUAAGGGAGUUUUUUAGUGAGAUCAUUGCAAUGGUCCAAAAAGAAGCAAUAUGGGAAUCAACUUGGAUGGUGACUUUGGAAACAGAAAUGAGGAAUACAAUGAUGAUGAUGACAAAGACAAUAAUAAUAAUUAAAUAAACUUUAAGGUUUGUAAAGCA